rnacentral:rRNA from 1 species
AACGAACGCUGGCGGCGUGCCUAACACAUGCAAGUCGUGCGAGAAAGUUCCUUCGGGAGCGAGUAAAGCGGCGCACGGGUGAGUAACACGUAGGUAACCUGCCCCCCAGUCUGGAACAACUAGAGGAAACUCUAGCUAAUGCCGGAUGAGACCACGAUCCCUUCGGGGGUUGCGGCCAAAGAUGGCCUCUACUUGUAAGCUAUCGCUGAGGGAUGGGCCUGCGGGCCAUUAGCUUGUUGGUGAGGUAACGGCUCACCAAGG